UAAGUGGGUAGGGUUUAAUAAUUAACUAUAACAAUAAUCCUUCCACCAUGACCUUGAAUAGUUUGUUGUCAAAUUGGUUGCAAAGGAGAGAUCUGCAAAAAAACUGCAUCUGGGAAAACUCACAUCUGAAAGUGUUCCAGAGGUUCAUACAUGGUUCACCUCGGUGUUUGAUAGAAGAUCUCAAUCCAAGGAUGAGUACUACAUCUCUAAGCUACUAUGGAUCAUUCUAUUAGUUCUUGUCUAUCUUUUGGGCAACGAGGUGUUCUUUUUUUUUAUUCUUUAUUUUGGUUAUCUCUUUUAGACAUGAUUUUUAUUUUAGAAGUUCUUGUAUGAUGACUUUCUGGUCUAGGGGAUUUCAAUAAGUAGUUUGUUUGAUUUUUGCAUUAAUAAUGAUUAGCUUUGGAUUAUUGUUCUAAA